AUCAGGUCUCGCCCUUUUGGCUAAGAUCAAGUAUAAUAUCUGUUCUUAGCAGUUUAAUAUCUGACAUGUCCCUUAUCUAGGGACCAUAUAUAAAUAUUAAUACAAUAUACACAUUUUAACAACGGGAACCUUUGUUAUUGUUAAGUAGUUGCUUUCUAAGGUUACUAUAUGGCAAGCAUUGACUCA